rnacentral:rRNA from 1 species
UACAGAGGGGGCAAGCGUUAUUCGGAAUUAUUGGGCGUAAAGGGCGCGUAGGCGGCGAUUCAAGUGGCGGGUGAAAUCCCUCGGCUUAACCGAGGAACUGCCUGCCAGACUGGAUUGCUUGAGUCCGGGAGAGGUGAGUGGAAUUCCCAGUGUAGCGGUGAAAUGCGUAGAUAUUGGGAGGAACACCAGUGGCGAAGGCGGCUCACUGGACCGGAACUGACGCUGAGUGAGCGAAAGCCAGGGGAGCAAACGGG